CUUUGCUUGAAAUUUCCAGGAUUAGUGAACUCUUAAGGGCAAUUUAUGAAAGUCUGCACAUUUGUAUAGUUGAGAAGAUUUUCAUCUCUGGGAAGUUCUGACUCUGCAUUAAUGAUGGACAUCAAUGUUUUCAACUGCCAGACAGCUCCAUGUUCUCAAUUCCUGAGAUCCUAACUAUGAGCCUUCCCUUCAGAUUAUCAACUGGAACAGAAUGGAACUUAUUGUCUGGAAAGUGAAG
rnacentral:lncRNA from 10 species